CUCGAGGAGUCGUUUUCAUCAAGCCUAUGAUAAUGGUAGAGAUGAUGCCCCACCUCAAUCAGAUGUUUAAAUUUUCAAGUUAAUUUCUUAAUCAAUGAAUUCUUCCCAAGGAUUAGGUUUUCAUAGUAGAAGACUUCAUUAUGGCAAUUUAAUGGCAACAAAGAGUAGAAAGCCCUAGCUCCCAAAAUCUUCAAAGCCAGCUAAAUCUGGUGGUGGUAAACAAAAGAAGGCUAUCUUACCAUACUGUCAAGCACUAGAGAAGUUCGCUCCCUAUAGUUGAUCUCCACUUUUCUCAUGUCAGGUUGGAAGUGGUCCCUCGCUGGAUUUAGAAGCUCGUUUGCUUCGAUUAAUGUGAGUCUUUCCAUUCUCACCUUUCAAAUUAUCCAGCUCUUCCAUUCCAGCUUACAGUUAUCCUCCAUUUAUUAUUUGUUACUUGCUUAGGGUUUACCUGCAAUCAGAGUUACUACCCUGUAAUCUUAUUAGAGAGUAUCCGGAAUGUGAUCCUUAAUAUGUGUUCAAGAAAACACAAAAUUCUGGCAUAGCAUGUGGUAAAGUCUUGUUAGAUUGGAACUUUGUUUUUUUUUUGUUUCUUAUUGAAUGUUGAGUCUAGGUUGGGUCUGAUAAAUGAGUAAUCAAAUUCAUGCCAUACCAAAAGUACUCAAACACUGAACAUAUUUGUUUACCUUUUUGGCUAUUUUACAUGAACCAUCGUGGUUUGAGGCAUUAUUGGGGCCUCAGAGUCCAUGGACAGCUCACCAAGACUGCUGGAUUUUCAAGGUUAUUGGUUCUAAAUGUUGGCCCUUGAUUUCAAGGUACAAGGCAAGUGCUAGUGAAGAAACUCAUAUUUGUGUCACCCAUUUGCAUGGCUCAAGUGCUCAACAGCAAGAAAAAAGCUCUUUCAUAUGAGUAUUUUAAUGAUCUCUUUGGUUUGAGUUCAGGAAGUUUAGUUAAUU